AUUCCGCUUUGCCUGCUGCCAGCCAGCCGUCCGUCCUUACGUCCGUCCGUCCACCGUUUGGAUCUAUGGUUGUGUCGGUGGAUUUCGUGACGUUAACCUGGCGGCCCUGAAAACGUUGGACUGACCGUACGAUUUCGACUACCCUUCGUUGGGGCGCGAAUGUAAAACGCGAGUGUUUUUUAAUCACCGUGGCCGCCGCUUAGGAAUACCACGGAGUAGUUCGGGAACACUGCCGGGCUAAUGCCGUUGCUGCCAUCACCGCCACUACUGAGGCAUACGAGAACGAAGCGGUACAUCGACAAGAAAUGUCUGAUGCUAGAUCUUGUGAAGGUUUGAAGAGGACAGACCGGAUCCAGAGUCUCUUCGAAAUGAAUAUUGUUGCUAGUGAUUGGAUCGAGAGGAAAUACGGAAAACAGAAGGAAGUGUAGCAAAAAUUUGAAGAAGCAACAGCUGUGAAUAGUAGAAGUAACUUUGAAGUGAAAAGAGUAGAUGAGAAAAGAAGAAGAACGCUGACUCUCGGUAGCUACUGUGCGACGGUCGAGCCAAGUGUGUGCGCGCGAGUGCCUCCACGGACGGGAGAAUACGUAAAAACGGUGUAUUUCUCGUUCUGCCAUCUUGAAAGUCAUCCAAUUUCUUUCUCUUGGUGGCGCUGGCUCACGUGCGCGGGAAACGUGCACAGUGCGUGCAUCGUACACGCACUGUGCUACAAUUACGGCUGAAGGAACCUCGCUUUGGGUAGAAUUGCGAAAUAACGGUCUUCGCCGAGGGUGCAACAGGAUCGUGAUGAAAGUAAGUUCGUCAACAAGUUUGCAUCAUCGUGGGACCGAUAACGAGUACUGUACCGGUAACGACAGCAGCCGUAAUAGCAACGAUACCGUCAUCGUGCGCGUUCCUAGCUGGAUAAACAGGAACCAGAAUGACUUUACCGGGAACGAGAUAUCGUGGGUGGAACAUAGUCUGCGAGUUGAGUGUAAACCACGUGGCAGUGAUGAAAUUGUGGGGCAAUCGCGAUUCUCUAAGGUGUAUCCACAGUGAUUGCUAGUGUUUGAGAAAAAGUACGCGGGAGACAGAAGGAUAGAAGCCGAGACUCUCGCGGAGAGCAGGGCAUCGAAAGAUAUGCGGACUUUUGUGCGAACAGCUGAACCGGAAGUUGUGAGAACAAGUGGAGUGCAACGCGCUCCGCCUAAUCGGUGAUAGGGUCAGUCGGCUAAAAGAAGAUCAAAAUUAGUGCUCGUAGCGACAGUAACGCGGCAUCUUUCGCGAUCACCUUCCACCCCUUCCUUUUCCUGUUUGCUUUCGUUUCGUCUCCUUUCCCUACUCCCCCCACCUCCUCAACUCACCCCCUCUUUUUCUCAAAGUACGAUAACUUGCCUGUAUAUUUUCUAUUUUAUCUUUUGUUACUUAUCGGGGGUCAACUUCGUUUCGACGGAACGUUUCUAAAUCAUAAACUGUGUCGCGUGUAAUCGAAAUGUUAGCGGUUGAAUAAUGCAAACAAGAUUUUCUCGUGUAAAAACCGUGUCGCGUUUUUUCGCAAUAGAGAAGGUAUACUGUCCCUAAAUACAUAUAUUGAGAUACUUUGUGUUCGAUGAACGUGGUACACUCGUACGAUGAUUUUAAGGAUUGUUUACGCAAAACACGUCUUACCUAUUAAUUCGAUGCAAUAUUUUCUUGCGAGAUUUCUUGAAAUUCUCCCGGAUCCUGGCAAUCAGUGCUCUUUUUUUGGUAUUCACAGCGAACGCACGAAAUGUACACACGAACGAACCGCAAUGACAUAUUAGCUGUGCGUGCUGUGUCCCUCGUAUAUCGUUCAUAUUCGAUUCUCAAGGAAGUUCAACACCUGAUACUAAUGUCAUGUUUCUCCAACUGUUAUCCGCAGAAGUCGUCCCUGAAGCAACAUCGGAAGAAAGAAAUUUGAAUGGUCGGUUAAGUUUUGUGUUUGUCGAAUGUCACGGUAUACGAGUCGUGUAGAUGAACGCAUGAAAGUGUACGUGUAAGAGGUGCGAGGGAAGCGACGAUCAACAACAUCAAGACAACGAAGAAGUGUGCAGAGGAAAAGAAAGUGCGAGCACGAGCAGUGAAGUAAGAAGGAAAUGAUAAACAAAAAGAAAGGGAUUUAAAGCAAGCCUGUGGGAACUAAAGUUCGCCGACGCAUAGUAAUGUUGUGGAGUAGCGUGUUCCGUAAAAGUUUUUAACGUCGAUAUAGAAUUUAUAAAUAGAUCGGUUGGUGUACUCACGUAUGUGUACGCGUACGUAUGUGUGCGUGAUUACGCGCGCACAUGUACGUGAUUUUCACUCGAGACUGAAGCGGUGAAUUAUUCUCGUGCGGAUCGACCACUCGUGGGAGAAAUUCGAGAUCGGCUUACCUUCCGCAGCUGACGUCAUUACCGUACACAAUGCGUUAGGGGUGAUGGAGACAGUGGGCAAGCAAGUCCAGGUAGUGAGCGGACUGGGGGUGGGGGGUCCAGUGGGCCCUGUGGGUCCAGUGGGGGCAGAUUUGCAUCACCAUCAUCAUCCUCACCCCCACUCUCAUCCUCCACACCCACACGCCCACCCCCACGGUCAUCCUCACGGGUCCCAUGGCCACUCUCUCGUCGGCGUAACGUCGACCCCCGGCAGGGGUCAGACCCAACCACCGGUCUCGCAUAACCAACAUUUACCCGCGAGAUCUACUCCAGUACAACUACACAGGUCACCGCAAAGUUACGUAAACAUCAAGAGCAGCAGUCCCGUGUCACCAAGAACAGUAGGAGCAGGCGUGACGUACGUCCAAGGUGGUGCGGCCGCGUCUUCCGCAGCAGCGGUGGCAGCGGCAGCGGCAGCUGGGACAGCUGGUAGUAACACUCCUGGAGGUCCUUCAAUCGGUGGAGGUGGUGGCAGUGGUGGCGGCGGCGGCGGUGGCGGCGGUGGCGGAGGCGGCGGUGGUGGCGGCGGCGGAAGUGUUAACAACGCUGGUGGCACGAACAGUGGAACCGGUGUCGUUGGGUCCGGAGCUGGCGUUGGGGCCGUAGGGAACGUGGCACCACCCGGAAGUGGAAAUAGUAGUGGUACCGGUAGUGGUACCAGCGCGGGAAGCAACAGUGCCGGGAGUGGUGCAGUGGGUGGUGCACCAGGAGGUUACGUUGCUGUACCUAUGGCUGGUGGUCUACGAUACAUCCAUCCGUAUCCACCGACGCCAACAUCGGCGUCGGUGCCAGCCGUAGCCACGGUGGUCACGUCGGCAUCGUCGGCGUCAACUCCCAUACCAGUGGCAGCGCCUGUAGCCCCGGCAGUGUCUGCCAAUCCACCCACAGUUAGUCAAACGUCACCACCAUCGCUUUCCGGAACUGCUUACAGCACGAGGGAUGUAUAUCGCAGCGCCACCACGAAUGUAAACGAGAGGAUCGCUAUCAACGUGAGCAGCAGUCCUCUAUCGCAGAUUGGAGUCGGUGUUGGAGUAGUUACGGCCGAAUAUGCGACGAAUAGCGGUAUAGGUAGUGGCAUGGCUGGUGGUAGAGGGGAUAGACCGAGGAUAUCUCUUCUACCGCCUGCUUCGGUGACGCCGACAGCUUCACCGACGGCCCCUUCAGAUUAUCAGCACGUGACCAGUGCGAGAAAUUCACGAAUAGGCCUCAUGCCCGUCCAACCGGAUCAGUAUUGCACUCGUACGGCCGUUGAGAUAGCCAAUCUGCAGGAGGCACCGCCCUUAAAAAAGAUGCGCUUGGCCCAACCAACGCAGGUUCAGUUACAGUCCCAAUCGCAAUCUCGCUGUCAAAGCCUAUCGCCCGCUGACCCCUGUGGUAAACAAGAGCACGUGGUACAGUUGCAGCAGCCACUCAGGAUAGACACUAGGGGGCAGCCCGCUGCGUAUACGCCGCAAACAGAAGCUAUUUCACCUACGCUUCCGGAACCGAACACGCAGGAGGACGCGCAGUUUAGAAGUACCAAGGACGAUCUUCUGCAGCAGAUCGCCAAGGUCGACAGAGAGAUUGCGAAAAGAGAGUCUCAGAUAAAUAAGCUUCGGAAAAAGUUGAAGGAAUUAGAAGAGGCAGCGAACAAACCUCUAGAAGCCAGUGGUCUUAAACGGCAGGUUGAGGAACAAUCGCAGCAACCGAAGCAUCAGUCUCUUGCACAAAAGAUUUAUGCUGAAAAUAGGAGAAAAGCUGAAGAAGCUCAUAGACUCCUAGAGAGGCUGGGUGCAAAAGUGGAGCUACCUUUGUACAAUCAACCGUCGGAUACAAGUGUGUACCAAGAAAAUCGUACGAAGCAUCAAACGUGUAUGAGAGCUAAGCUUAUAGCGAGGCUUCGUCGGGAACACGCCGAACGAGCGUCUCUUCAUCGACAACAGUCUCGAACGUACGCCAUUUUGGUACAGGAGUGGCAUCGUAAGAUAGAACGAUUAGAGGCAACACAGAAAAGGAAAUCGAAGGAAGCGAAAAAUCGUGAGUUCUUCGAGAAAGUGUUUCCUGAGUUGCGGAAACAGAGGGAAGACAAGGAACGUUUUAAUAGAGUCGGUGCCCGUAUUAAGAGUGAAGCUGAUCUAGAGGAAAUUAUGGACGGCCUUCAAGAGCAAGAGAUGGAAGAUAAAAAAAUGCGUUCAUACGCAGUGAUACCUCCGUUGUUAUUGGAUACGAAACAGAGACGAAUCGCGUUUCAGAAUCGAAACGGUCUGCUUCAGCCAGAAGAAUUAGAAGCACUUCACAGUGAACGGAAGUUAAUUAACGUUUGGAGUUCUGUGGAACACGAAUUGUUUAAAGAAAAAUAUUUACAACAUCCUAAGAACUUUGGAACGAUAGCUCAAUCUUUAGAACAUAAGUCCGUUCCAGAUUGCGUGCAUCAUUACUACCUCACUAAAAAAGCAGAAAAUUAUAAGCAGCUAUUGCGAAAGUCGCGGCAACGAACACGUAGCUCUCGGAACAAUCCUAAUAAUAAAGUAAAUAAUACCAGUUCAAGUAUUGGACCUAUAGACAUCCUAACUACGGGUGUUACGACGAGGCUGCAGCGCGAGCAGCAACAGAAAACGCAAGAAAAUCCUCAGAAUAAUUCAACGGCGGCGUCGACUACGACGACGACCACUACCACCUCGACACCAUCGAAUGUGUCAGCGUCCGUUACGUCAACGAUAGCGACCACGUCAGCGACUUCCCUGAGCUCGUCGGCAACGUCGAGUACAUGUUUAACGACAGAAUCCGUAAUAACAUCAACGGCAGCAGUAACGACCUCGAUAUUGAGUACCACGACGGCGUGCGUCACUUCGUCGAUCACAUCUAGUGCGAAGGAUAACCGGGAAACUAACAAAGAAAACAAAGAAAUUAAAUUGGAGCCCAAGGAGUCGAAUCUCAUCAAAGUGGAGGUGAAGGAAGAGCCGCAGUUGAGUUCUGAAACGAUGUCAGGAAAAGAUGUUAAAGUGAUAAUUGACGGGAAGAGCACGUUAUCGUCGUCGACGUCGUCGUCGUUGAGUGUGAACGCAACGAACACGAUGAACACAACGAACGCGACGGCGAUACAUAUGGAUUUCAAAGACUCGAAUAAAAAGAAACCGGUCAGCAGGGAGACGACCAGCAGCGGCAUGACCGGCGUGGUGACCGCCAGCAGAAUAAAGGAGAAGAAAAAGGACAACCACGCCACGCCAAUGGAGACCAGCGACGAAGAGGCCCAGUCGAUGGACGCUAUCGAAGGCAGCAGACAGAUCGGACCUCACGCCUGCACGGUUUGCCAGAACGCGGUAGAAGGUAGCGCGCAGAGCCGAGCUCUGCCAAGAAGUCAGGCGUCCCAGUACGGGCUGCGAGAGGAUCAGGUAGCACCCGGUGCCCGCGUCUGCAACACCUGCAGGUGCAAAGCAGUUAGGGGACGCUACACCGCGUGUCCUCUGCCUGGUUGCCCGAACCUGAACAACGCCAGUUCUAAGACCAGAGUGAAACGGCUGAGAGCGUUGCCUGCCAAGUGGCUUGAUCUACCUGCUGAGAUUCGUGAUCCGAUCAUUCAAGAGUUCCAAAUACCGAACAACGCAACGAAAUGCUGUUCAGCCUGCUUCAAUCGGAUAUCCCGACGUCUGGCGCCCCAUUUAACCGGUAGCGCCGAGGUCGCUGAAGACACAACCGAUUCCAUGGCUCGGCAAUGGACAGACGAGGAACUCGACCAGCUCAGGAGAGCACUCCGAGAACACGGCACCAACUGGUUGAAAGUCGCCGAGCAAAUACCCGGCAAGACGAACCAUCAGUGCAAGAACUACUACUUUGCGUACCGGAAGAAACUGAGCUUGGACCAAAUGGUCGCUGAGUAUUAUCAGUCUUUGGGCGAAGAGAGGAGACCUUGCUUGACAGACGAGGAAGAGAGCGGUAGCAGUACGAGUAGCUGCGACGAGCUAGCGGUUCAUGACUCGAGCGACACAGCCAGCGCAGGUAGUCCAGCGAAUAACAUGUCGAGUGGAACGCCAGGUACACCGGGUUCUUCUACAAAUUUGCCUAUAUCUUUCUCGCGAGCGACCGAUCAGAAGCUUGGCGACAAGCUGGCAGACAUUGCUGUGGUAUCUUUGGUGCCACCGGUGAGCAUAGGUUCGUCGCAACAGUCUUCCACCAGCGGAGGUAGCAACGCUGCUUCAGCUGGCACUAGAGAAGACUACGAUAGCUCGGCCACGGAGACGGCGGACGAGGGUCAGGGAGGCGUCGAUUUAGACAAUAGCAGCGUCGUUGUGACAUUGACCACCGCCAACAAUACGACGCCGCUUCAACAGCAACACCAACAGUCGCACCAGCAGCUACCACCGACGUCGCAUUCGCCCCCCUCAACCACCAGCAACUCAAACCCACUCACCGUUAAAGACCUUAUGCUUGGCGUUAUCGAGAUGCAACUGAAACGCAAUCCCAACAGCCCAGCCAGUACAGGUGGUUCCUCGGUGCCAGUGAACUCUGGUACGCCAACGAUAUCUAGUAUACUGAAGACAGAUCACCGGAACGAUAUCACUUUUGUGAGGGAAUACAAGCCGUCGAGUUCUAUGGCAAACACGACCAUGUCUAGGGAUUCGAAUUUGGCAACUCUGUCGGUGGUAUCCGGUCCCCAUCACGGUCCCCAUCGUUCCGCACCUAGUCCCCAACAACUUGAUACUGUUUCAGCCCAAAUGCAAGCAACAAUAACCCCUUGUCCUCCAGCGGCAUCAACCAGUCAGUCUUCGUCCUCGGAUCUGAUUCCAAAGGAAGGGCUGAUCGUGAUGCAAGUUCAACAAGCGCUUCGUGAGACGGAAGGCACGCUGGACCUGAGUAUUAAGAAGCCAAGGCAACAACAAGAAUAUAACCAUUCCUUGACGAUUCACAAGCCGCCAACGGUUGCCCUUUACCGGCCAGAACCUCCUCCAGGUGCUUACUACCAUCCUCACGCUCAUCCAGAGCAAAGUCGUGGGGCGAAGAGUCCAUUGGUUUAUGCUCCUUCGCCGCGACCACAAGCGCCACUUACACCGAAAAUGAAUAAGGUUACCGUGCCACCGCCACACCCGAAAUUAUCUCCAAAAUUGAGCACUAUAGGAACGCCUGGACACAAGAGUGGCUCCAUCACGCAUGGUACACCGGUCUCCAGUACACGUUAUGACGGUCUUCUCAGACAAAUGACGCCCCCAGGAAAUCCUGGCAAUGCUCCUGGGACACCGAACGUUGCCAGUGGUGCGAGUGCGGUGAAUGCCCCCAGUAAUCAAGGACCCAAAGAGACAGGUUCGAUAACCCAAGGCACACCGGUCCAUCCCUUCGCGGUGGAUAAACGAGCGCCUAUGUAUGACUAUCAUAGAACUAUCAGACACUCGCCCGUGACGACAGGCAACAUUCCCGGACAGGGCCAGAGUCAAGCAGGAACCGCGGCGGUAGUAGUGACGCAUAGCAAUCAAUACAAUUCUUACCCCAGUCGACCACCGCCGAGUUAUACGAUGGAACAACAGUUAUCCUCGCGACAGAUCAUCAUGAACGACUACAUAACCAGCCAACAAAUGCACGCGCGCAGUCGGAGUAGCGGCACGUCGGAAGGAGGCAAUAAGAACGAGCCGCCGACGUCGACGAUGUACUAUACUAACACACCACCCCCGCAGUCGCAUACGCAGACGCGGCAAGGAGUCAUCCAGAGGCAUAAUCCUCAGAAACAGAUGCAUUAUCCGCCUCCGCCACCGGGACUGGAAGCUUUUUCCAGUUUAGUGGACGUCGCCGUACAACAACCCAGUCUUCCAGUUCCCCAUCCGCACAGCCAUCCCGCCUCUGUCAGUAGCAGUCACGAGGGUCUUGGCAAGACCAUGGCGGACAGGCUACUGGCCGACCGCUAUGGUGAUAAACAUCGCUUGGCUAUGCAUCAAGCGGAUCACAGAAUGGCGGCGGCCCACCAUCACCAACGAGAUAGAGAAAGAGAACGUGAAUUAGUUCAUAUGCGUGAAAAGGAAGAAUAUAGAAUGCAACGAGAAAAGGAAAUCCAACAGCAGGAGCACAGACUGGCACAACAAAGGGAAAAGGACGCUCAACACGUCGAGCAUAGGCUGUCGAUGCAGCAAAGAGAAAAGGAUAUACAGCACCCCGAACACCGUCUUACCGUCCAUCAACAGAGAGAGAAGGAACUUCACCAACAAAUGGCUGCAGCCGCUGCUCAGAGGGAGAAGGAACAUCAGGAGCAUCGAUUGGCCGUGCAACAGCAGAGAGAAAGAGAUAUGCAUAUGCAGCAGCAGCAACAACAACAACAACAACAGCUUAUACAACAGCAGCAUAUACAACAGCAACAGAGAAUGGAGGCUGAAAGGAGGCAUAUAGCUCAAAUGUAUAGAGACCAGCAGCAGCAACAGCUUGAUAGGGAUGCCAGCAGGUUAAUGAGCAGUGGAUUCACUCAAUCUUCGAGACUUCAACAACCACAACAAUCUCAACAACAGCAACAGCAGCAACAACAAUCGUCGUCUCGACAGAGUCAAUCCUCGAACCAGCAGCAGAACGAUUCAGCGUCUACUUUAACUGCUGCCAGUCUAAUAGAUGCUAUCAUAACUCAUCAAAUUAAUCAGAGCGUGGAUAACACUGGCGGUAAUUCGCAGCCUCAACGACCAGGCGAUCGUCUUUUCCAGGGAUUCCAUCGGGAAGCUCCGGCAGAACCUAAUGGGAUGGCACAUAGUCCUGCGGGUGAAGGUAACGGAGGCAACAGUGGUACUGGUGGCGCCAGCGGUAACGGAAGUGGAAAUAAGCCGAUUACUCUUGGCGAGCACGUAGAUCACAUUGUCUCCAAAGAUUACGGUCCACCGCAUCCCUCCUACAGAUCGUAUAGCGGGUACCAAAUCUCGGAAGACCAAUGGAAAAGACGAAAAGCCAAUGAGUCUGAUUCCAUAAAAGCUGGAGACGAGCGUCAGAUAAUCCGCGUCACUCAGCAGCAAUCACAGCAGCAGCAACAACAACAACAACAACAACAACAACAACAACAGCAACAGCAACACCAGCAGGCAGCGUCUUCUGUAGGAAAGCAACAAUUUCACUCUGUCGAACCCGUGUCACCACCGGAAGCGGGUACCAAUCAUUACGGGCGUCGCUUAUAUGAAACAACCACUGCCACAUCGACUUCCGGAACCCCUUCCAACAAGCCUCAUCUUUCGCCGUUGGAUUACGUGAAGAACAAGAUCGUUGAAGUAAUGCGUACAUCCGAAGACGAUAAAGGUGGUAACGCAGGGGACAGGAACGGAGGGAACGUUGCCAGUGGAGAAAAGGACGAGAAGAUAGGAGGGAACAUCGAGAGCCCUUCCGGCGCAGAGAUGAUGGUCGACGGGACACCGAAUCAAAAUCCCCAACCACCCGCGCCAGCUCCUACAACCACCUUCUAUCCAUUCAGUGCGUUAGGAGUGCACACUGGUCCGCCGCCAGCACCACCACCCCCGACUUCCGGUUCCGCUUCCGUGACUAAAUCCGAACAAAUGCAAGCCGAGCCGGCGCCGUUGCUUUCAGCUCAGUACGAACCACUUUCUGACGAGGAUUGAUAGUCUAAUAAUUUAGCCACGUACAGAUCGACACGCUGUGACAAAGUUUCUUAGGGUAUUUAUGCACUUUGUUUAUCUUGACGAGAGUCUCACGCAGACGUCGAUAAACGAUUGAACGUUUCACGAUUAGCAAUGUUUGUCGGGCGUUACCCGUCGCCGUUCUUACUGAUCGUCAGGUUUUGAUCGCAUUGAGGAGAUUCAGUUUUUUUCCCUAUUCAUUUCGUUCAUUUCUUUUUCUUUUCGUUUUUUCACUUCUGUCCUACUUUAUACCCUCCCCACUCCUCUGCACAUCCUACCUAUCACAUUUUUAUUCAUAAAUUCGCAAACGGAGAUUAUAUAACAUGAUGAUUUGUUUUACAUACAGUUUAUUAUUUUAUAAAUUUCGUAUUCCCAUUAUAUUUUUAGCAAGAAAUCGCUGUCCUCGCUCCCCCGCGCAGUACGCAAAACGAUCGAAACGUUUUACGAGAGCAAUGUUUUAAUGAGACGCGCCCGCAUAUCGCGAAAUUGUCUUCGUUUAAACGUAAAACCGUAGCGUAAUUUUAAACAAUAAUUAAUAUUUUUUUACGCAUUACAUAUCGUCAUAUUGACACGUAAUAAAAAGGAAAUAUGUACUGUCCCGGCUACAUCGAACGCUCUGUUAUAUUCACAUCUCUGUUACUACUUCGUUUGAAAGAAGCGCGUUCCAAGCAUACUCAGAAUGUGAGUGCCAGAGAUACGAGGAAUUUUAAUUUUCGUUGCUUUUAGAAACGAUGAUAUCAGAACCAUUGCCGCAAACUCGAUAACGAAAAUUACUAAAUGUUCUGUACGAAUUUUCACGUAUCGUUAUGUGUAUAUGUGUGUGUGUGUUUUUUUUUUAAAUACAAUCGAAUUUAGAAACAACAAAAACGAUACAGCGAUGUCGGUCAGAAGAAAUUCUGUUCUUUCAUGAUUUUCCCUUUUUUUCGAUACGUCGAAUACCCUCAAUGCGUUGACAACCUUCGAAGGUCACAUACUGUUUUCGCGGUUCAUAGAAAUGUUUUCGAUCGACGCCGGAGUUGCGUCUCAGAUGAUCCACACUCACGAUAUAGACGUCGACCCGUGGAACGUCCAGGCUAGCCCAAAUUCACAAAUGGAGACGCUUCUUUUUGUACAUAAAUGAAAAUGUAACCGUUAAAGAAUGAUGAAACUUUAAAGGCAUACGUGUUUUUAUUUUGGAAUGAGUCUGUGAUGUGUCUGGGAUUAAAGUAGCCUGAACCGUAGCAUCAGUGCGAAGAAGAGAGUGUGUAAGUUUCCGAAAAGUCCGCGGCGAGCCCGACGCGGACGAGAAAUGGUGUGUGCGCGUGCGCGCGCGCAUGCGCGCGGACAGUGGAAUGGCACCGUUCUGACGAGAAUCGCUUUCAAAUUGUUCUCUCUCCUUGGUGAAGUGGGUUUUAAGUGAAAAAUGAAAAAAAGUGUAAUUCUAAGUGUUGUACAUAGUACACAAUAUUAAUUUUUAAGUUGAGCUAGUAGGUAUAUGAUGGCUAGUUUAUCGUAUGCUAUUGUAAGAAUCUAGAUUAUAGCGUAAGUGAUGUAGCUAGCAUUUAGGGGAUAGACGCCAUGAACUGACUAUGGGAAUACUUCCCGAACUACGUUCUCUUAUCGAUGAAGAUAAUGCGGGCGAUCGAGGGACGAUGUGUCAAUGUCGUCCUCGGGCGAAUAGAUACGAUUUUAUUUGAUUAAAGAAAAAAAAAAGUAACUUUCUGAAACCCGAAUGUACGCUCUGACUAUCAUGAAUAAGUUUAAUCACACUCACAUGUAUACAUGCGCGAUGACACAAUUUAACAUACACACGUGACACUGGUAUAGACAACAUUAUACAUACAAGACACAACACGUUCACAUGGAAACGCAUUGGAAGAGAACAACACACGUGUACAAGUAAAGAAUUUUUAUAUAGCCUAAUUUUAUAUUUGUAUGCAAACGUAAGUUGAACCGUGCGAUCUGCUCCUUUGUUUAGUCAUUCGGAUACCCGACAACCAACCAACACCGUGCUUUUUAACCGCAACAUCGCUGCACCCGAAAAUCAGGCGGGGAUAGGCGUGAAUGGAAACGAAAGGGGACGUAGGAAAAACCGGGAAACGCACUGAAACGCGACCACUGGGCGGCUGUGGACCUUUCUGCGAAGUCAUAAUGUUAUUAGGCCAGUUUACGAGAGGAACGAUUCAACACAGAAGUUCAUCAUUUCCGUGAACAGAACUUGGUGGGACAAAGAACGAUAAAUGAGUCGACACAUUGUUCGACGUUUCAUCCGUAUGCCGGAAUUUCUUCUUCAUUACCGUCGCAACCUUGUGUCUGUGUCGUUUAACCGUUCCGCUGACGUCACUGUGUGCAUGCAGUGGUCUUACAAUGUGGUCUCCCGAUUUGCGCGCACGUACACGGCGACACACCAGUAACAUGUACAGAGCGUUCCAUAGCAUGCGGGACACGUGUAAACGACGAAUCGCACACGAAGAGCGUUUUUGCGUAUCUUACCUUAGGUUAACACGAAAUGUUUGUACAAUGUUACUUCAUUUUUUUCAUUUUCUAACAAUUGCUUAGAGAGAAUAGUCGAUAGACUGUGGAUUUCCAUGCAUUUAUGUCAAAAAUGAUUAGGUUUAGGCUUUAAAAAAAAAGAAAAUGGAAAAGAUUCAAAGAAACUGAGAGUGUAUGAAUUAAUUUGAGAAAUUUAUACUUGGAUCUUAUUUCGCAUAAACGUCCACAGUCUAGUCGUGAUAUAUUGAAUACAAACAGAAAUGUUUCUCGGUAUUUUUCGGCAAGCCGGAGUAGGUCCCGUGAUGUUUUUGAGACAGCCUGUGUACAGGAUGAUUCCAGAAACUGCGACAAGAUAUAACUAUUUUUCGAGUAGAAAUAGAAAAUGGUAAAAUAACGGAAGAAAUCGAAUAAUCAAGGAAUCAAAUUUCUGUGAUAAAAUUUGGUCUUGCAAAGUGCAACCACGCACAAAGCAACGUACAGUCGCACCGUUUCGUUCGGUCUGUUCUUCUAGAUUAUCCGAGUAGAGAGUGUAUUUAAGGCAACGAGACCGAGGAGAUUUCGAAUUCUCGUGGCCGUUUUGUACUUGUUUUCUUUUUCUUUUUUUUUCACGUUUCUCACAUCAUUCGGUUAUCGAACGCUUGCAAUUAGCCAAUUGGUUUCAUCUCUGCCGUUCAAAAGUCACCAGUUAUCGAAACAGAACGCAGCAAACGAACGUUGUCCUUGCUUAGCAACUGCCUAUCCAACGUGUGUUUACGUUUUAAGAGCCCAAAAUGAGACGGACAUCGAAGAAACCUGAAGCAAAGAACCGAGAUCAAGAAAAUACAGACAGUGUUCAAGUGCUAUUGAAAAACAAAUAUGAAUAAUCAGAUGACAUAAAGAUAUAAAACAACAAGCGUUCAGUUUUUAUUUCGGUCUUCAAUCCUGUUACCUUUGUUAUAUCUUCUUACAGUUUCGAAAUCAUCCUGCAUAUCGGAUUCCGGCGCUGACUUGAACAAGGGAUGCCUCAAGAGGGAUCUGUUUAAAUUCUGACACGCAGUAAGAAACGUCACAUCAAUGUCACGUCAAUCCGCAGUAUAAUGAUCCUCUUAUUGGAUCUAACAGAAAAAUUCAAAUUGGAACGCAGCCCAAAUACAUUGGACAUUAACAAACUGGUAACCAUGUAAAAUUUGAAUUCUUUAAACAGUACCUAAUAUUUGAAAAAAUAGCGGGGAGAAAGAGAGAGAAAGAGAGAGAGAGAGAACGAGAGGCGUAAAAGAUGUGAGAAAGGUUGAAGAAUGGGAGACAGAGAGAAUGGAAACACUAGAGACAGAGAUAACGAGAGAGAAAGAGACACACGCAGGCACACGUACACGUACACGACUAUAUCGUUGAUGCAACAAAAGGCAAAUCAUCUAAAAGCUAUAGAAAUUUCUAGACGACAUAACGUAUCGUAAGGCAUCAACCCGUACGCACAAGUCUGUCGAGCGUCAGGAAACGAGCAAUCACUGGAGUUAGGCGAAGUAGCCAAGCCAGAUGAAGCAAAGAGGUCUGAGAAGACAAUUUUGUCGUUAGUGAUAAUCACCUUAGCCUGACCCAUCCGAUAAGAUGCUGAUUUGAUAUUUGUAAUUAUCAUUUCUAUCAUGUCGUGAACUCUCGUGCUUCAGUGUGCCACUGCGGUGCGAAAUCAUUUUAACGCGUCCUGGACAAAUAAGAUGAUCCAACUGUUUUCGCUUCUGUUAAAACUUGCCCAGGUCUAUCGGGUCUGUUCGGAACGUAUUAAAUGUAAAAAUUGAUGUCGCGCCGUAGGGGAGAGACGCGAAGGGAGUAGUUGCUAGGUUCACCCGAUCUCCCACCUUCUCUCGAGAGUUGCAUGGAUAUAGUCGAAACGUUCUCCGGUGUUCGAUGAACCUGUGCGUGCUGGUUCGUAACCCGAUGGAAGAUCGAUGUCUAUUGUUUGGCACUCCUCUAACGCAAACAACUCUGUACAUAUAGAUGAAAGAAAAGUAAACGACAACGCCGAGGUAUUUAGCCUCCUCCCCGUGGAGAAUUGUCCCUCGAACAGUUCUCACGACGGACAGAGACAGAUGACAAACAAAAGUGAAAAGGAUAUGUCACGUGAACAAGUAACAAGAAAAAACUAAAAACACUUAAGGAAAAGCUAAGGAGCGAUAUUACCUACGAACCCGCUAUUAAUGCGAUUCAUUCAGAUAAAUUAACUAAAAUUAAUAGCGAGCGAGAGCAUACCCCGCCUACAGUAACUACAGGUAUAGCAUACACGGUAAUAUGAUUAUCAAAACAGUUCAAUGUAAAUUGUUAUUUUUGUUGAAAUAAAAAUCACCUCCGUUAUAAUAACUAGCAACCCCCCCCUACCCCACCCCGCUCCACCCCUUAGCCCGCCGCAUCCACCCUUGCAUCUCACUCUUGAUAAUAUGAACCUGCCACAAAAGGAUAUACAGAGCGUACAUUAGAUUUCAAGAAAACAACCGGGCUAUAUUUGAAUGCUUUUCGAUUCGAGUGUUCGGGCUUCGAAGAAUUCGCCGGCUGACACGUUUCGGCUAAACAAUUUUUACGUUCAUGUCGCUUGGAUUAUCGUUAGAAAUCGGCGAUCAUCGGUGACUGUUGAGGUCAAGAUACAUUACAUAGUAAGCGUAAGUGCUCGUUCAAGGUCACUGUUGACCUUCCUUCGUUGCAGUGAAUGUGCGGAAUUUUCAUUUGAAUCUCAAUGUUCGAAGUCGACAAAAAAUCAUGGAUCGUUACUGUACAGUUGAUUGUUCGAAUAGAAUUUAACGAUAUCACUUUUGUUACUGAAAAAUAUGGAAACACAGGACUGAAGAAAUAUAUACAUAUAGUAUAAAUGA